CUCCUUGCAAAAACCCGCUCUUUAAAGCUCAAUCAGAGUAAACAUCAAUCUGCGGAAAACCCAAAUUGAAGUUUACUCCGAUUCAGCUCUAAAGAGCGGGUUUUCGCAGGAAA